rnacentral:rRNA from 1 species
GUGGGGAAUAUUGCGCAAUGGGCGAAAGCCUGACGCAGCGACGCCGCGUGAGGGAUGAAGGUUUUCGGAUCGUAAACCUCUGUCAGAAGGGAAGAAACUACGUUGUGCUAAUCAGCAGCGUACUGACGGUACCUUCAAAGGAAGCACCGGCUAACUCCGUGCCAGCAGCCGCGGUAAUACGGAGGGUGCAAGCGUUAAUCGGAAUUACUGGGCGUAAAGCGCACGUAGGCUGUAGUGUAAGUCAGGGGUGAAAUCCCACGGCUCAACCGUGGAACUGCCUUUGAUACUGCACAACUUGAAUCCGGGAGAGGGUGGCGGAAUUCCAGGUGUAGGAGUGAAAUCCGUAGAUAUCUGGAGGAACAUCAGUGGCGAAGGCGGCCACCUGGACCGGUAUUGACGCUGAGGCGCGAAAGCGUGGGGAGCAAACAGGAUUAGAUACCCCUGUAGUCC